GGCUCUGGGGUGUCACACGUGAGGUUGCAAACCUCGAAAAAGCAGGAGAGUUUCUGCCGGGGCU
rnacentral:tRNA from 1 species